AAAAUGUUCUUUCUGGGAAAUAUAAUUCUGUUCUACGUGGUGUUUCCAAUGAGCACCGCCAACAAAACCCAGGACAUAUUGGUGACUGAAGGAGAUCAGGUUGUGCUGCCCUGUGGUGUUGAUGAUGGCUCCUUGGAGAGGUGACGUGGAGAAGAGUCGUGGUGUACGAUACACGGACGGGACCGAACCAGUUGGAAAUGUCACCACGAAUCCAUCAAGAUGCAUCUCAGAGGUGGCCAGCUCAGGUCCUUCUGGCUGUGAGAACUCAAACACAACUCAAUUGACUGAACUUGGCAACAUUUUGGAGCAAUACAAGAUGCUAUUUUUCAUCUCUCUUGCAAUGAUGGCUGUUUUGAUAACAGUGUUGGUCGUGGUAAUCUUCAAACUGGUCAAGCAAAAAAAUGGAAUUCCCACACCGGUGCCAAGAGAGAACACCCAUCUCACACGAGGACAUACUACGGUACGCGUCACACAGUAACAAAAGAACAAUCACUAUAUGUAAAUACUACAAUUAUAUCUGCAUGCAAAUACUUGUAAAUAUAUUGUUACCUUAAUAACGAAUGAUACCACCACAGAAUUACGAAUGGUAUGUCAUAAUAAUAAUGACAUUUAUAACGCACCAGAUUUUCCAGACAAGUCAAUAACUCAGAAGCAUUGAAUUAAGCUCAGGGCUGCUCGAAAAUCUGAAAGUCAGAAUGCAUUUGAUGUUGCGGAUGUGCAAUGGGAGAUGGAGUUCCACAUCGAGGGGGCGGCAGCAGAAAACCGACGUGAGGCUGUAACAGUUCGAUACCUUUGUUGGCCUAAGUAAUUUUUUUAGUGAUGCUGCUGCGGAGGGGCUCUGCAGUGAGCUUUGGUGCAAGGCGAGAGUAGUGAGGUGAGGUGUGGCGGUGGGGAACUGGUGGUGAAGGCGCAAUGACAAAGGCGGGAGAUUGUAUUAUUCGUCCUGCUGGCGAAAGGGAGCCAAUGCAAAGUACGGAGAGCAGUGGCUGAGUCGACUCGCAGAUGAAAGACACCAAGGACAACAUAUUAGGAAGGAUGACAGUUUGCCCGUGUUGAGAUGUGUGUGGUGUAUAUAUGCAGCUGCUGAAGUUAACUAGCCCGUCAUAUAACAGACCAUGGAACACAAUCUCAGAUUAAUAAAAAAAAACGUAGGAGUAAUCGUCACAGUGAUACACUCUGCUACACCUGACGUAAGCAUCUGGCUCGUUAACCACCUCAAUGUAAAAUUACAGCUGUACCACUACAUCAAUAUUCGUCACACCGGGAAGAAACCUGUUGUAAUCACUAUCGACUCUGGAAUAUCAAGGCUCCGUUCUGUCUCCAACAUUAUUUAUUAUUAUGA